rnacentral:rRNA from 1 species
UGGGGAAUAUUGGACAAUGGGCGCAAGCCUGAUCCAGCCAUGCCGCGUGAGUGAUGAAGGCCCUAGGGUUGUAAAGCUCUUUCACCGGUGAAGAUAAUGACGGUAAUCGGAGAAGAAGCCCCGGCUAACUUCGUGCCAGCAGCCGCGGUAAUACGAAGGGGGCUAGCGUUGUUCGGAUUUACUGGGCGUAAAGCGCACGUAGGCGGACUUUUAAGUCAGGGGUGAAAUCCCGGGGCUCAACCCCGGAACUGCCUUUGGUACUGGAAGUCUUGAGUAUGGUGGAGGUGAGUGGAAUUCCGAGUGUAGAGGUGAAAUUCGUAGAUAUUCGGAGGAACACCAGUGGCGAAGGCGGCUCACUGGACCAUUUCUGACGCUGAGAUGCGAAAGCGUGAGGAGCAAACAGG